AGGUUGUUUUGAAACAACGAGAUAGUUCUUUGAAAACUGGAUACGAAUACCAUUAACGUCAAUUUAUUUUUUUAUUUAUAAUCAACCAAUUCAAAUUUUUUUAUAAGAGUUUGAUCCUGGCUCAGGAUGAACGCUGGCUGUGUGCCUAAUACAUGCAUGUCGAGCGAGGUUAGCAAUAACCUAGCGGCGAAUGGGUGAGUAACACGUGCUUAAUCUACCUUUUAGAUUGGAAUACCCAUUGGAAACAAUGGCUAAUGCCGGAUACGCAUGGAACCGCAUGGUUCCGUUGUGAAAGGCGCUGUAAGGCGCCACUAAAAGAUGAGGGUGCGGAACAUUAGUUAGUUGGUGAGGUAAUGGCCCACCAAGACUAUGAUGUUUAGCCGGGUCGAGAGACUGAACGGCCACAUUGGGACUGAGAUACGGCCCAAACUCCUACGGGAGGCAGCAGUAGGGAAUAUUCCACAAUGAGCGAAAGCUUGAUGGAGCGACACAGCGUGCACGAUGAAGGUCUUCGGAUUGUAAAGUGCUGUUAUAAGGGAAGAACAUUUGCAAUAGGAAAUGAUUGCAGACUGACGGUACCUUGUCAGAAAGCGAUGGCUAACUAUGUGCCAGCAGCCGCGGUAAUACAUAGGUCGCAAGCGUUAUCCGGAAUUAUUGGGCGUAAAGCGUUCGUAGGCUGUUUGUUAAGUCUGGAGUUAAAUCCCGGGGCUCAACCCCGGCUCGCUUUGGAUACUAGCAAACUAGAGUUAGAUAGAGGUAAGCGGAAUUCCAUGUGAAGCGGUGAAAUGCGUAGAUAUAUGGAAGAACACCAAAGGCGAAGGCAGCUUACUGGGUCUAUACUGACGCUGAGGGACGAAAGCGUGGGGAGCAAACAGGAUUAGAUACCCUGGUAGUCCACGCCGUAAACGAUGAUCAUUAGUCGGUGGAGAAUCACUGACGCAGCUAACGCAUUAAAUGAUCCGCCUGAGUAGUAUGCUCGCAAGAGUGAAACUUAAAGGAAUUGACGGGGACCCGCACAAGCGGUGGAGCAUGUGGUUUAAUUUGAAGAUACACGGAAAACCUUACCCACUCUUGACAUCCUUCGCAAAGCUAUAGAGAUAUAGUGGAGGUUAUCGGAGUGACAGAUGGUGCAUGGUUGUCGUCAGCUCGUGUCGUGAGAUGUUUGGUCAAGUCCUGCAACGAGCGCAACCCCUAUCUUUAGUUACUAACAUUAAGUUGAGGACUCUAGAGAUACUGCCUGGGUAACUGGGAGGAAGGUGGGGAUGACGUCAAAUCAUCAUGCCUCUUACGAGUGGGGCCAUACACGUGCUACAAUGGUCGGUACAAAGAGAAGCAAUAUGGCGACAUGGAGCAAAUCUCAAAAAGCCGAUCUCAGUUCGGAUUGGAGUCUGCAAUUCGACUCCAUGAAGUCGGAAUCGCUAGUAAUCGCAGAUCAGCUAUGCUGCGGUGAAUACGUUCUCGGGUCUUGUACACACCGCCCGUCACACCAUGGGAGCUGGUAAUACCCAAAGUCGGUUUGCUAACCUCGGAGGCGACCGCCUAAGGUAGGACUGGUGACUGGGGUGAAGUCGUAACAAGGUAUCCCUACGAGAACGUGGGGAUGGAUCACCUCC
rnacentral:rRNA from 2 species